AACGAACGCUGGCGGCAUGCCUAACACAUGCAAGUCGAACGAGAUCUUCGGGUCUAGUGGCGCACGGGUGCGUAACGCGUGGGAAUCAGCCCUUUGGUUCGGAAUAACGGUUGGAAACGACUGCUAAUACCGGAUGAUGACGAAAGUCCAAAGAUUUAUCGCCAGAGGAUGAGCCCGCGUGGGAUUAGCUAGUUGGUGUGGUAAAGGCGCACCAAGGCGACGAUCCUUAGCUGGUCUGAGAGGAUGAUCAGCCACACUGGGACUGAGACACGGCCCAGACUCCUACGGGAGGCAGCAGUGGGGAAUAUUGGACAAUGGGCGAAAGCCUGAUCAAGCAAUGCCGCGUGGGUGAUGAAGGCCUUAGGGUUGUAAAGCUCUUUUACCCGGGAUGAUAAUGACAGUACCGGGAGAAUAAGCUCCGGCUAACUCCGUGCCAGCCGCCGCCGUAA
rnacentral:rRNA from 1 species